rnacentral:rRNA from 1 species
UACAGAGGUCCCAAGCGUUGUUCGGAUUCAUUGGGCGUAAAGGGUGCGUAGGCGGUGGGGUAAGUUGGAUGUGAAAUCUCGGGGCUCAACCCCGAAACUGCAUUCAAUACUGCCUUGCUUGAGUAUUGGAGAGGAGAUCGGAAUUCAUGGUGUAGCAGUGAAAUGCGUAGAUAUCAUGAGGAAGGCCAGUGGCGAAGGCGGAUCUCUGGACAAUUACUGACGCUGAGGCACGAAGGCCAGGGGAGCAAACGGG